UUUUGCUUUGCACACCCGAUUUUGGGUCUGUAGCUCAGUUGGUUAGAGCGCACCCCUGAUAAGGGUGAGGUCGGCAGUUCGAAUCUGCCCAGACCCACCAGUUACCUGGUGAAGUUGGUCAGAGCGCGUACGACACCCGGAUACGGGGCCAUAGCUCAGCUGGGAGAGCGCCUGCCUUGCACGCAGGAGGUCAGCGGUUCGAUCCCGCUUGGCUCCACCACUUACUGCUUCUGUUUGAAAGCUUAGAAAUGAGCAUUCCAUCCUGAUUGAAGGGUGCGUG
rnacentral:tRNA from 1 species